GCAAGUCUGGUGCCAGCAGCCGCGGUAAUUCCAGCUCCAAUAGCGUAUAUUAAAGUUGUUGCAGUUAAAAAGCUCGUAGUUGAAUUUCGGGAUCAAUAUUUCGGUCAUGCCGUUGGUAUGCACUGUUAUCAUUGAUUUCUCACCUCCUAAAGAACCGUAAUGCCAUUAAUUUGGUGUUACGGGGAAUUAGGACUGUUACCUUGAAAAAAUUAGAGUGUUUAAAGCAGGCUCACGCUUGAAUACAUUAGCAUGGAAUAAUGAAAUAGGACAUCCGAUUCUAUUUUGUUGGUUUCUAGGAUCGAUGUAAUGAUUAAUAGGGAUAGUUGGGGGCAUUAGUAUUCAAUUGUCAGAGGUGAAAUUCUUGGAUUUAUUGAAGACUAACUACUGCGAAAGCAUUUGCCAAGGAUGUUUUCAUUAAUCAAGAACGAAAGUUAGGGGAUCGAAGACGAUCAGAUACCGUCGUAGUCUUAACCAUAAACUAUGCCGACUAGGGAUCGGAUGAUGUUAAUUUUUUAAUGACUCAUUCGGCGCCUUACGGGAAAC
rnacentral:rRNA from 1 species